rnacentral:rRNA from 1 species
AUUGAACGCUGGCGGUAGGCCUAACACAUGCAAGUCGAGCGGCUGCAGAGAAAGUGCUCCCUCUUACGGCGGCCGAGGGGUGGACGGUUGAGGAGUACAUCCGUGUCUACUUGGUCGUGCGGCAGGACGCGGGGCCUCUUACGCUAAUACUGCAUACGACCUACGUGUGAGAUCAUGGGAUCUUCCGACCUCACACGAUCCUAUGAGCCGAUGUCGGAUUAGCUAGUUGGCGGGGUAAAGGCCCACCAAGGCGACGAUCCGUAGCUGGUCUGAGAGGAUGAUCAGCCACACUGGAGCUGAGACACGGUCCAGACUCCUACGGGAGGCAGCAGUGGGGAAUAUUGGACAAUGGGCGAAAGCCUGAUCCAGCCAUACCGCGUGUGUGAAGAAGGCCUUCGGGUUGUAAAGCCCUUUUGUUUGGGAAGAAGAGCAGCAGGUUAAUACCUCGCUGUUCUGACGGUACCAAAAGAAUAAGCACCAGCUAACUUCGUG